UUUUAAAUGAAGGGGUAAUGGGAAAGGUCGUUAGUGCCACGAGUUCGUAGCUAUUCACCCGUUCUAAACGCAUGGUCACAGUCCUAGAGACUAGAGAAACUUUCAUUGAAGUGGGACAUUGCCAAAAAUGAUGUCAAACAGGACCAGCAUCAGAUGCUCAAGGACAAAGUCCUGUUACAGCAACAGCUCAUUAAGAAACAGGACGCCCUCGCUCAAGCCAAGCGGGCAGAUGCCGAUAACGAAGCCCGAAAGCAAAAGGAGUUGGAGAAGGCAAAGAAACAGGCUAAAGAGGCAGCUCUACUUCAACAGUGCAAAAAUUCUAUAGAGGAAGACAGGAGGUCUGCCAGUAAAGAGAGAAAAUCCAAGGCCAAAGCUUCCGUCACCACCCCACCCACCCCUUCAUCCAAUGUCCCCUCCAGCCCCAUCAGAACGCCCUCCAAGUCCCGGCGAUUCCACCCCAACCUGUCGCCGGUCAGUCGCACCCCCACAAACACGGAGCUACUGGACCGCGACCCCUCCUGGAGCAUGCCCGAGGGGGAGAAGCUCCAGUGGCACCAGAAGCAGCUAUACCAGGUGCUGGGUAAAGGGGCCGACUACUUCCUGCACCCCAAGAUAGAGAAAAAGGCUGUUAAGCCCAUCAACAGCAAGCUCAGGAAGGAAGGAGGUCGAGCUGGUGUGGACAGACUGUUGAAGACCCUGAGGGACGAGUCCCAGAUCAGACUGCUGAAGGCUGACGCCCACAUUCCCCAGGAGCUGAAGGACACCUUUGGAGCCUUUGUGAGGGAGAGUGUCGGCAAGGACCGCCCACCAGUCAGGAGGUUUUUCUGUCCACAAGAAGACGUUCCAGAGUUGGCUCGCCUACAAGACCAUUCAAAGACUGCUCGCGUGCGCCAUUACAAGCACAGAGUAGACCUAAUGUACCGGGCCUCCAGGAACAAUGAGGACCGCACCAAUAUCCUGAUCCACAACAACCCACCCCCUGAGGUGGCUUCCCUUGAUACUGACCAGGACGGGGUGGGGCGUUACCUCCCCUCAUGGAUGGACGAUAGAGCAGAAUCUGAGCCAGAUUACAUGAAAUGGGUGAAGGAAGGAGGAAACACCCACCGUGACCUCACCAGCCAGCCAAUCAAAGAAGACGAUGAGGACUGGCAGAAACCAGAGGAAGACUUGGGUGGCGAGGGAUUCACAGAUGAGGUCAUCCUCCAGAUGAGUCGCCGGAAACACCGUCAUCCACAGCCUAAGUACAUCUUCAUGAAGGAGGAGGACACGAAUGUCAAGGGGACCUUUACAGACAAGUUCCGAGACAUGUAUGACAACGCAGACAUCCCGCGACCAUUCAACGCGACCAAGCUGCCAACCCCCACCAAAUCCAAGUCUGUGCUGGGUCUGACGACGGAGGACUUGGUAGAGGACAGGACUUCCUGUCAGUCCGCCCCGGUCCCCGAGAGGCAUCGACGUUACUACGACUACAUCUCUCAAUGGGAGCCUCUCAGCAUGAACGCACUGAUCGAGUACACGCAGAAGAAAGAGGCGGAGGGAGUCGGAGAGUACAACCAGGGUCGACCCAAAAUGUGGUCCACGCAGGUCAAGGUCACAUGACCCGUCUGAGCCAAUGGUUGACGAUUAAAGACUAUAGCUGUGAUACAUAAAAGACUUGUGAUAUAAUGAUAAUAAUUGUGUGAAAUUAGAUUUUAUACAUAAUCAUGAUUAUAUAAUUUGUUUUUACAAAUAUAUUUUUACUGAGUUUAAUUCUCUAUCUUGUUUGAAAAAAACAUCGACAAUAUUUAUAUAAUAAGUAAACUAUGGAUCUGUUUAUUUAAUGAUCAGACUUGAUUUGAUUCAGUAUUAUUUUUGAGAGUGUUGAUGAAAUACUGUGAGUGAUAUUUGUUGAUUUAAUAACUCUAUUUUUCUUGUCCGUCCAGGUGAAUGGAUUUUUACUGUUUAUAUAUUUCUUGUGCUUUUACAAGAUUCAUUAAAUUUUGUUACAAUUG
rnacentral:misc_RNA from 1 species